UACGGGGGGUGCGAGCGUUGUCCGGAAUCACUGGGCGUAAAGGGCGCGUAGGUGGCGUGAUAAGGGUGUGGUGAAAGCCCGGGGCUCAACCCCGGGUCUGCCAUGCCGACUGUCAGGCUCGAGUGCUGUAGGGGCAGGCGGAAUUCCGGGUGUAGCGGUGGAAUGCGUAGAGAUCCGGAGGAAGACCGGUGGCGAAGGCGGGUCUCUGGGGCAUAACUGACGCUGAGGAGCGAAAGCAUGGGGAGCGAACAGG
rnacentral:rRNA from 1 species